CCUACGGGAGGCAGCAGUGAGGAAUAUUGGUCAAUGGGCGCGAGCCUGAACCAGCCAAGUAGCGUGAAGGAUGACUGCCCUACGGGUUGUAAACUUCUUUUAUAAAGGAGUAAAGUGAGGCACGUGUGCCUUUUUGUAUGUACUUUAUGAAUAAGGAUCGGCUAACUCCGUGCCAGCAGCCGGGGUAAUACGGGGGAUGCAAGCGUUAUCCGGAUUUAUUGGGUUGAAAGGGAGCGUAGAUGGGUUGUUAAGUCAGUUGUGAAAGUUUGCGGCUCAACCGUAAAAUUGCAAUUGAUACUGGCAGUCGUGAGUACAGUGGAGGUAGGCGGAAUUCGUGGUGUAGCGGUGAAAUGCUUAGAUAUCACGAAGAACCCCGAUUGCGAAGGUAGCUUACUAAACUGUGACUGACAUUGAUGCUCGAAAGUGUGGGUAUCAAACAGGAUUAGAUACCCGGGUAGUC
rnacentral:rRNA from 1 species